UCAAUACGUGAAUGAAGAAAAACAUCCAGAACUGGUGCCAACACUUGAGGAAUGUAGAGUUUUGACAGGGAGACACAUAGAAGCAAGCGGCUCUGUCCAGAACCAAGCUUGCUUUUCCUUCCAGACCUGCUGCUCCUGCCGUGGUCCUUACUCCAGCCCAAGAAUAUCAGUUUCUUUCUGGAAGCAUAUCCAUCAAGACUCUGCCCUGCCUCCAAGUGGGCUGAGCCACCAGCCAUUUGAUUAAAAUGCAGUCUUUGCUUUAAGAUAGAAUUCAUCCUGAAUAAACUGGGCUUUUGAGCAGCUAAAAGGACUGUUCCUGUCCCCUCGGAUGCCCAAGGGGAAGAGGCAGAGCUUGGGGUGAGGUGAGCCUCAGUCUGAAGCCCAAACAUGGUGGGCGCAGCCUCUGACCAUCCAGAGCCCUGAGAGGAGGCUGCUGGAACCACAGCAGCCAAUGACCCUUGAGAAAAGGGGGGACCCUGCAGGUGACAGCACAGUCCAGAGGAGGAACACAGCAGUAGCCGCAGGUUCCCAAUCUGGAGAUAACUCGGCAGUCCAGAAAAAGUGUGCCAGAAAAUCCAGAGAUUUCCCAGAGACCAGCCUCCACACUUCCAUUCAGAAAUGAGCCUACACACGUCCAGGGUGAGAGACGCCAAGCAUCAGAGUCACCUACCCGCCCACAGCCGCGUGCCGUGAGUAGGCAUUGGAUCCAAGUCAGAGAGGGCAGUGGGGGCAGAACCCACCAAUACUGGCCAAAGCCCAAAGCUGGAAUUGUCGGGAAACGUAUUGGGGUGUCAUGGAACAAGGGUCAGAUGGGCCUGGUGGGGACCACGGCCAGGAUGGACACGGUGGCAGAUGAGGACAUCUCCAAGCUCUAUAUCUGAGUAUAGAUAUACUCAGCUCUGUCCCUGUGUCUCUGACUCUCUGGUCUCUCCUUGUCUCCCAUCUUCUGUCUCUGUUUGUGUCUGUUUCUCUUUUUCUCCCCAUCUCCCAGUUGCUAUCUCUGAGUACGAGUCUCCAUAUUUGUCACCUGUCUCUGUCUCUCUCUGUCUCUGCCUCUCACAUCCCUCUCUCUGCUCUACGUUGCUCCAUAACCAUGACCACCUCCAGACAUGGGGGUGCUCCCUGUAUUAAUCUGUUAGUGGUCUGUUCCCUCCAGUAGACGGUGGCCUUCAUGAAGGCCAGGGUUUCCAUCUGUAUUAUUUUCUCCUAGACCUCCUGUGCCUGGGA